UGACUUAUGAAUAUUAAUGACGUAAGGAGACGCUUUUUUCCCGUAGGAGGAAAUGAUUUCGCGAUGGAGAGACGGCAAACUUGCCUCAUGAAUAUUAAGUAGAGGAACUGGCUGGGCUAAUAGGAAGCGUCGUCAGCCUUCCUUAAUACAUAUUCAUAAACCUUCCCCAUAGUAGGAUUAGUAAAGUGCCAUGCGGGAAGGCGAACGAGGGGUUAAUUUAUUUGGCAGAUGCUACUGUACUUUCUAAAGAGACAAUGGAGCACGUGAUAAAUGACUGUGUCAAUAUAGAGUCAUUCUUUAAUACAGAAUACGCUCGGUUGGAGCAAGUGCUGUGCUGUUUUAACACCGCAGUCAAACUCAGCUUUUUCCUCAAAUGAUCAAUAAGCCUUAGGCAGCAAUGAAGUCCUGCCCGAGCCGCAAACACAGCAGCCGCUCAACCAAAAGAAGACAGUUGAGUCUGAAGAUAACCUGGUUAAAGCUUGAAAUGAACAUCAGCUGACAGCAGGAGGCAGGUGCAGCCCGAGGAAACUCCACAGAGUGCUGAAAUGGUGGUUUCUGGAGCGGAGAAGAUUAAUAAAACUGCAGAGAACACUUCCAUUUGGACUAGCCAGAGGCUCUGGGAGAAGAAUGAGGUUGAAGAAAAAUGACAGAACGCUAAUCACUGCUUUAAAGCUUCACAUGAACAUGAUCUGUGUGACCUGACGAUCUGAAGUGGCAAACAUGUACACCAGUUUGGAUUGUGAAUUCGCUUAUGCAAAGCAUUCAUUUGAUAAAUACAGAAACAGAAAAUUAUUAAUGCUCAUAUAUUUACAGGGUUUCACCAAGUUAAAUUUAAGGCUUUCAAAAGACAUUUUUUAAGACUAUUAUGAAUGAAAUUUU